rnacentral:rRNA from 1 species
UACGGGGGGGGCAAGCGUUGUUCGGAAUUACUGGGCGUAAAGGGUUUGUAGGUGGCUCGCUAAGUCACACGUGAAAUCCCUCAGCUUAACUGGGGAACUGCGUGUGAGACUGGCAAGCUCGAGUGCAGGAGAGGAAUGCGGAAUUCCAGGUGUAGCGGUGAAAUGCGUAGAUAUCUGGAGGAACACCGGUGGCGAAGGCGGCAUUCUGGACUGCAACUGACGCUGAAAAACGAAAGCCAGGGGAGCAAACGGG